rnacentral:rRNA from 1 species
AAACCGCUUAGGGGUUAAGCCUGAUGAACCCGAAUAUUUGAAAUGAGAAAUUCAUUAUUUUUUAGUAGUUUCAUUCGAAACGAACAAUGAUAUGCACUUUUCUCAGUGUAAAACAUUGCGAUCUAUUUGUAUAUCCGUAUGGAUGGUUUAUCAAAUGGCCCGUAUGGUUUGUUCAUUCCUAUCUGUGGCAUUUUAUGUCAUAUGGUUGAUGCCAUAGCGGUGACCUGGUAAACAGCAGAUAGUUUUUAAAAAUCAUGCUACCACAUUCUAUGUGUAUCACGGUUCAUGUACUGUUUCAGUGCGUGAGUGCAGUGAUAGCAUGUAUUUGAUUGGCAAUGCGAUAGAUUUGGGAUACCUUCAGGACCCGUCUUGAAACACGGACCAAGAAGUCUAACAUGUGUGCGAGUCAUUGGGUAUAUUGUUGAAACCUAAGGGCGCAAUUAAAAUAACUAUUUUAUGGGAUUACAAGUGAAUUAAAUUUCAUUUCUUCAUCCCGGGGCGUUCUAUACGAACAUGGUUUAAGCAAUUGAAUCCUCUGUUCAAGAGCGUACCUUGAGCAUACAUGCUGU